rnacentral:rRNA from 1 species
UUAAGCGACUAAGCGUACACGGUGGAUGCCCUGGCAGUCAGAGGCGAUGAAGGACGUGCUAAUCUGCGAAAAGCGUCGGUAAGGUGAUAUGAACCGUUAUANNNNNNNNNNNNNNNNNNNCACUAUCGUUAACUGAAUACAUAGGUUAACGAGGCGAACCGGGGGAACUGAAACAUCUAAGUACCCCGAGGAAAAGAAAUCAACCGAGAUUCCCCCAGUAGCGGCGAGCGAACGGGGAGCAGCCCAGAGUCUGAAUCAGCUUGUGUGUUAGUGGAACGGUCUGGAAAGUCCGACGGUACAGGGUGAUAGUCCCGUACACCAAAAUGCACAGGCUGUGAACUCGAAGAGUAGGGCGGGACACGUGGUAUCCUGUCUGAAUAUGGGGGGACCAUCCUCCAAGGCUAAAUACUCCUGACUGACCGAUAGUGAACCAGUACCGUGAGGGAAAGGCGAAAAGAACCCCGGCGAGGGGAGUGAAAAAGAACCUGAAACCGUGUACGUACAAGCAGUGGGAGCACCUUCGGGUGUGACUGCGUACCUUUUGUAUAAUGGGUCAGCGACUUAUAUUCUGUAGCAAGGUUAACCGUAUAGGGGAGCCGCAGGGAAACCGAGUCUUAACUGGGCGUUAAGUUGCAGGGUAUAGACCCGAAACCCGGUGAUCUAGCCAUGGGCAGGUUGAAGGUUGGGUAACACUAACUGGAGGACCGAACCGACUAAUGUUGAAAAAUUAGCGGAUGACUUGUGGCUGGGGGUGAAAGGCCAAUCAAACCGGGAGAUAGCUGGUUCUCCCCGAAAGCUAUUUAGGUAGCGCCUCGUGAAUUCAUCUUCGGGGGUAGAGCACUGUUUCGGCUAGGGGGUCAUCCCGACUUACCAACCCGAUGCAAACUACGAAUACCGAAGAAUGUUAUCACGGGAGACACACGGCGGGUGCUAACGUCCGUCGUGAAGAGGGAAACAACCCAGACCGCCAGCUAAGGUCCCAAAGUCAUGGUUAAGUGGGAAACGAUGUGGGAAGGCACAGACAGCCAGGAUGUUGGCUUAGAAGCAGCCAUCAUUUAAAGAAAGCGUAAUAGCUCACUGGUCGAGUCGGCCUGCGCGGAAGAUGUAACGGGGCUAAACCAUGCACCGAAGCUGCGGCAGCGACACUAUGUGUUGUUGGGUAGGGGAGCGUUCUGUAAGCCUGCGAAGGUGUGCUGUGAGGCAUGCUGGAGGUAUCAGAAGUGCGAAUGCUGACAUAAGUAACGAUAAAGCGGGUGAAAAGCCCGCUCGCCGGAAGACCAAGGGUUCCUGUCCAACGUUAAUCGGGGCAGGGUGAGUCGACCCCUAAGGCGAGGCCGAAAGGCGUAGUCGAUGGGAAACAGGUUAAUAUUCCUGUACUUGGUGUUACUGCGAAGGGGGGACGGAGAAGGCUAUGUUAGCCGGGCGACGGUUGUCCCGGUUUAAGCAUGUAGGCUGGUUGUCCAGGCAAAUCCGGAUAAUCAAGGCUGAGGUGUGAUGACGAGGCACUACGGUGCUGAAGUAACAAAUGCCCUGCUUCCAGGAAAAGCCUCUAAGCAUCAGGUAACAUCAAAUCGUACCCCAAACCGACACAGGUGGUCAGGUAGAGAAUACCAAGGCGCUUGAGAGAACUCGGGUGAAGGAACUAGGCAAAAUGGUGCCGUAACUUCGGGAGAAGGCACGCUGGUGUGUAGGUGAAGCCCCUGCGGGUGGAGCUGAGACCAGUCGAAGAUACCAGCUGGCUGCAACUGUUUAUUAAAAACACAGCACUGUGCAAACACGAAAGUGGACGUAUACGGUGUGACGCCUGCCCGGUGCCGGAAGGUUAAUUGAUGGGGUUAUCCGUAAGGAGAAGCUCUUGAUCGAAGCCCCGGUAAACGGCGGCCGUAACUAUAACGGUCCUAAGGUAGCGAAAUUCCUUGUCGGGUAAGUUCCGACCUGCACGAAUGGCGUAAUGAUGGCCAGGCUGUCUCCACCCGAGACUCAGUGAAAUUGAACUCGCUGUGAAGAUGCAGUGUACCCGCGGCAAGACGGAAAGACCCCGUGAACCUUUACUAUAGCUUGACACUGAACAUUGAGCCUUGAUGUGUAGGAUAGGUGGGAGGCUUUGAAGCGUGGACGCCAGUCUGCGUGGAGCCAACCUUGAAAUACCACCCUUUAAUGUUUGAUGUUCUAACGUUGGCCCCUUACCGGGGUUGCGGACAGUGUCUGGUGGGUAGUUUGACUGGGGCGGUCUCCUCCCAAAGCGUAACGGAGGAGCACGAAGGUUAGCUAAUCCUGGUCGGACAUCAGGAGGUUAGUGCAAUGGCAUAAGCUAGCUUGACUGCGAGCGUGACGGCGCGAGCAGGUGCGAAAGCAGGUCAUAGUGAUCCGGUGGUUCUGAAUGGAAGGGCCAUCGCUCAACGGAUAAAAGGUACUCCGGGGAUAACAGGCUGAUACCGCCCAAGAGUUCAUAUCGACGGCGGUGUUUGGCACCUCGAUGUCGGCUCAUCACAUCCUGGGGCUGAAGUAGGUCCCAAGGGUAUGGCUGUUCGCCAUUUAAAGUGGUACGCGAGCUGGGUUUAGAACGUCGUGAGACAGUUCGGUCCCUAUCUGCCGUGGGCGCUGGAGAAUUGAGGGGGGCUGCUCCUAGUACGAGAGGACCGGAGUGGACGCAUCACUGGUGUUCGGGUUGUCAUGCCAAUGGCACUGCCCGGUAGCUAAAUGCGGAAGAGAUAAGUGCUGAAAGCAUCUAAGCACGAAACUUGCCCCGAGAUGAGUUCUCCCUGAGACUUUAAGUCUCCUGAAGGAACGUUGAAGACGACGACGUUGAUAGGCCGGGUGUGUAAGCGCAGCGAUGCGUUGAGCUAACCGGUACUAAUGAACCGUGAGGCUUAACCUU